rnacentral:lncRNA from 1 species
AGGAUCCUAGGUGUGAGUGAGGUACAUGAGGGAGUGGAGUGGGAUUGCUGGAGCCUUGGGGUGUAGGCAGCGUAAGUAGAGUCUAUGGCAGCAGGGGAAAGAUGGUGUGAGUGGGGACUCCUAGAGUAUGUUGCAGGUAGGGGGCAAAGAGGAGCAGUGGGAGAGAAUGAUUAACGUGUGUGUGUGUGGCCCGUUAGGGGUCGAUAGGGGGACGAUGGUCGCCGAGGUUAGUGACGAAAGUGAAUGAAAAUGGUGUAUGUGCGUGGCCUAGUAGAGUUCGAGAGGUAGCUGAUGGUCGCCGAUGUUGGUGACGGGAGCGAAUGAUCAGAGUGUGUGUGUGGCCUGGUAGGGGUCGAAAAGUGGUUAAUGGUCACCGAUGUUGGUGAUGGGAGAGGAUGAUCGGAGUGUGUGUGUGUUGCCCGAUAGGGGUCGGUAGGUGGAUGAUGGUCGCCGAUGUUGGUGAUGAAAACGAAUGAAAACAGUGUGCGUGCGUGGCCCAAUGGGGGUCGAAAGGUGGUUAAUGGUCGCCAAUGUUGGUGACCAGGGAGAAUGAUCGAGUGUGUGUGUAUGGCCCGAUAGGGGUCGGUAGGUGGAUGAUGGUCGCCGAUGUUGGUGACGAAAGUGAAUGAAAAUAGUGUGCGUGCGUGGCCCAGUGGGGGUUGAUAGAUGGUU